GUCUUCUGAGCCAGCUGGUUAGAGCACACGGCUCAUAUCCGUGUUGUCCGGGGUUCAAGUCCCUGCACCGCCACCA
rnacentral:tRNA from 1 species